AACGAACGCUGGCGGCAUGCCUAAUACAUGCAAGUCGAACGAGAUCUUCGGAUCUAGUGGCGCACGGGUGCGUAACGCGUGGGAAUCUGCCCUUGGGUUCGGAAUAACUUCUGGAAACGGAAGCUAAUACCGGAUGAUGACGUAAGUCCAAAGAUUUAUCGCCCAAGGAUGAGCCCGCGUAGGAUUAGCUAGUUGGUGGGGUAAAGGCCCACCAAGGCGACGAUCCUUAGCUGGUCUGAGAGGAUGAUCAGCCACACUGGGACUGAGACACGGCCCAGACUGAGAGGGGAGGGAGCAGAAGAGAACAGUGAACGAUGGGGGAGAGCCGGAGCCGGCAGGGCGGGAUGGGGGAUGAGGUCCUGGGGGUUAAAAUGCUCUGUUGCGGGGGAAGAUAGGGAGAGAACCGGGGGAAUAAGCCGGGGCUAACGCCGGGCCAGAAGACGGAGAGGGCGAAAGAGAGCCCAUCUAAC
rnacentral:rRNA from 1 species